AUGGAAACCUGCAGAGUGGGCCUUCUUAAAAGUAAAUUGGUGCCUCCCUGCCACAGCUGCUCACACCCUUUCACCCUCUCUCCUUUCUGCCCAGAUCACAUGCUGUUCUACCUGCACUCCUGCCUGUUGUCCCUGACAACAGUCACCAUGCCUCAGGGUAAGAAGGGUAAGCUCCACACCUGUGACAAACGCCGCCAGGCUGAGCAUGGCACCCAGGAUCUGAGGGGCGCUCAGGUCACUGCCACCACGAUGGAAGCACUCUCAUCUUCCUCCAAUCCUGGUCCCAAGGUUGAUGCUAAGGGAAGGUCUGGUGCUAGGUCUGAUAACCAUCUUAAGUGUCCUCAGGGGGCCCUGACCACCACCACCCCUGUGCCUGCAAGUGUUUCUCCCACAAGAUCAUCCAAAAGACCCCUUGGGGAAAUUGGGAAAACACACAAUUCCUCUCAGGCCCCUGUCUCCAAUGUGUGGUCUGGAAAACACUCACUAACCAUGCCGACGAGUCUGUUGGUGCAGUUCCUGUUACGCAUGUAUAAGACGAGAAAGCCCAUUAGGAAAGUGAAUAUGCUGAAGAUUAUCGAUAAAAAGUACCACAAUCGAUUCCUCAGGAUCCUCAAAAGAGCUUCUGACAGCAUGGAGGUGGUAUUUGGUAUUGACGUGAAGAAAGACAACACUGCCAAGCAUUCUUAUGUCCUUGUCAGCAAGAUGAGUCUCCCCUGCAAUGGGAUCGUGCACCGUGGCAGGGGUUUUCCCAAGACCGGUCUCCUGAUGAAUCUCCUGGGUGUGAUCUUCAUGAAGGGCAACUGCGCCACAGAGGAAUACAUCUGGGAUUUCCUGAGUAAGAUGAAUAUCUAUGCUGGGAAGAGGCACUUCAUAUUUGGGGAGCCCAAGAAGCUCAUCACCCAAGAUUUGGUGCAGCUGAAGUAUUUGGAAUAUCGGCAAGUGCCGGGCAGCAAUCCAGCAUGCUAUGAGUUCCUGUGGGGUCCGAGAGCACACGCUGAAACAAGCAAAAUGAGAGUCCUGGAGUUCCUGGCCAGGAUUAACCAUUUGGAUCCCAGUGCCUUCCACUUUUGGUAUGAAGAGGCCUUGAAAGAUGAGGAAGAGAGGGCCCAAGCCAACGGAUAUCCCAGUGUUCCUCCAGCAGUUCCUUCCACACCUAGUGAAGCUGAGGCAAAUUCUGCACUUUGUGGCUCAAGAGAGUAG
rnacentral:lncRNA from 1 species